UAGAAAAGCAUCGCGUCGUGCAUGAAGUGGCCUAGUGGGCUCGAAGGACCCUUACAAACC
rnacentral:rRNA from 1 species